rnacentral:rRNA from 1 species
CCUACGGGAGGCAGCAGUGGGGAAUUUUGGACAAUGGGCGCAAGCCUGAUCCAGCAAUGCCGCGUGAGUGAAGAAGGCCUUCGGGUUGUAAAGCUCUUUUGUCAGGGAAGAAACGGUGGAGGCUAAUAUCCUUUGCUAAUGACGGUACCUGAAGAAUAAGCACCGGCUAACUACGUGCCAGCAGCCGCGGUAAUACGUAGGGUGCAAGCGUUAAUCGGAAUUACUGGGCGUAAAGCGUGCGCAGGCGGUUUUGUAAGUUUGUCGUGAAAUCCCCGGGCUCAACCUGGGAAUGGCGAUGAAGACUGCAAGGCUAGAAUCUGGCAGAGGGGGGUAGAAUUCCACGUGUAGCAGUGAAAUGCGUAGAGAUGUGGAGGAACACCGAUGGCGAAGGCAGCCCCCUGGGUCAAGAUUGACGCUCAUGCACGAAAGCGUGGGGAGCAAACAGGAUUAGAUACCCUGGUAGUCCACGCCCUAAACGAUGUCUACUAGUUGUCGGGUUUUAAUUAACUUGGUAACGCAGCUAACGCGUGAAGUAGACCGCCUGGGGAGUACGGUCGCAAGAUUAAAACUCAAAGGAUUGACGG